rnacentral:rRNA from 1 species
AGCGAACGCUGGCGGCAGGCUUAACACAUGCAAGUCGAGCGGGCACUUCGGUGUCAGCGGCAGACGGGUGAGUAACACGUGGGAACGUACCCUUUGGUUCGGAAUAACGCUGGGAAACUAGCGCUAAUACCGGAUACGCCCUUUUGGGGAAAGGCUUGCUGCCGAAGGAUCGGCCCGCGUCUGAUUAGCUAGUUGGUGGGGUAAUGGCCUACCAAGGCGACGAUCAGUAGCUGGUCUGAGAGGAUGAUCAGCCACACUGGGACUGAGACACGGCCCAGACUCCUACGGGAAGCAGCAGUGGGGAAUAUUGGACAAUGGGCGCAAGCCUGAUCCAGCCAUGCCGCGUGAGUGAUGAAGGCCUUAGGGUUGUAAAGCUCUUUUGUCCGGGACGAUAAUGACGGUACCGGAAGAAUAAGACCCGGCUAACUUCGUG